rnacentral:rRNA from 1 species
AUCAUUAUCGAUGUGGCGAUUUAUUCUGUCGCAAGACGGAAGCUACCCGACCUUUUGUCAUUUGAACGUCGCCUGGAGGAAGGCGAGCGUGUCUUUGGGCCGCUCGUGGACAGCCAGGGGAACCAAAACUUCGGCGGAAGAGGUAGGCAUGGACCUGCCCGCCGCCGGCCGUACAACACAUUCUUUUGAGAGCAACGUGAAGUCUAAAAGUUAUCACACGAAAAAAAAAAGCAAAACUUUCAACAACGGAUCUCUUGGCUCUGGCAACGAUGAAGAACGCAGCGAAACGCGAAAGGUAAUGCGAAUUGCAGAAUCAGUGAGUCAUCGAAUCUUUGAACGCACAUUGCGCCUCUCGGUAUUCCGGGAGGCACGCCUGUUCGAGCGCCAUUACAAACUCCAAGCGUAGCUUGAUGUUGGUCGGUGUGUCUGCUGGGGAUUUUCCGGGAGACACAGGACUGGAACGCGUUGGCGCCGCCGCCAGACCACGAGCGUAGCAAGACGAGAGUCAAGAAUCGCAUCGGAUUGGAGCUGGCGGAGGGUGGCCUGUUUUGGAUGUUGCUUUCGCCCAUCUUGAGGUGCGUGGACAGAGAGAUUUGUUCAUGGACGAGAGAUGUGGAGGAGGGAGAUAUUCACAGACAAGUUUGGCC